UGCCAGCAGCCGCGGUAAUACGGAGGGAGCGAGCGUUAAUCAGAAUUACUGGGCGUAAAGCGCGCGUAGGCGGUUUUGUAAGUCGGAUGUGAAAGCCCCGGGCUCAACCUGGGAAUGGCAUUCGAUACUGCAUAACUAGAGUAUGGUAGAGGGAAGUGGAAUUUCCGGUGUAGCGGUGAAAUGCGUAGAUAUCGGAAGGAACACCGGUGGCGAAGGCGACUUCCUGGGCCAAUACUGACGCUGAGGUGCGAAAGCUAGGGGAGCAAACGGGAUUAGAUA
rnacentral:rRNA from 1 species